UGGAUUAUAUUUAAUGAUAAUAUUUGAUUUGCAAUCAAAAGGUGCCUUAGGGUUAAUCUAA
rnacentral:tRNA from 1 species